GACGAACGCUGGCGGCGUGCUUAACACAUGCAAGUCGAACGGAAAGGCCCUGCUUUUGUGGGGUGCUCGAGUGGCGAACGGGUGAGUAACACGUGAGUAACCUGCCCUUGACUUUGGGAUAACUUCAGGAAACUGGGGCUAAUACCGGAUAGGAGCUCCUGCUGCAUGGUGGGGGUUGGAAAGUUUCGGCGGUUGGGGAUGGACUCGCGGCUUAUCAGCUUGUUGGUGGGGUAGUGGCUUACCAAGGCUUUGACGGGUAGCCGACCUGAGAGGGUGACCGGCCACAUUGGGACUGAGAUACGGCCCAGACUCCUACGGGAGGCAGCAGUGGGGUAUAUUGCACAAUGGGCGGAAGCCUGAUGCAGCAACGCCGCGUGCGGGAUGACGGCCUUCGGGUUGUAAACCGCUUUCGCCUGUGACGAAGCGUGAGUGACGGUAAUGGGUAAAGAAGCACCGGCUAACUACGUG
rnacentral:rRNA from 1 species